GCGUUGUAAAAUAGGGAGGUUGCGCGUCGGGUUUUCGGCCUCCGGAGCCGAAGGCCACAGGUUCGAAUCCUGUCGGGCGCGCCA
rnacentral:tRNA from 1 species